rnacentral:rRNA from 1 species
CCUGUUCCCAUGCCGAACACAGAAGUUAAGCUCCUUAGCGCCGAUGGUAGUCGGACUGACGUUCCGCUAGAGUAGGACGUUGCCAGGCA